rnacentral:rRNA from 1 species
GACGAACGCUGGCGGCGUGCUUAACACAUGCAAGUCGAACGAAGAGCGAUGGAAGCUUGCUUCUAUCAAUCUUAGUGGCGAACGGGUGAGUAACGCGUAAUCAACCUGCCCUUCAGAGGGGGACAACAGUUGGAAACGACUGCUAAUACCGCAUACGAUCUAAUCUCGGCAUCGAGGAUAGAUGAAAGGUGGCCUCUACAUGUAAGCUAUCACUGAAGGAGGGGAUUGCGUCUGAUUAGCUAAUUGGAGGGGUAACGGCCCACCAAGGGGAUGAUCAGUAACGAGUCGGGGAGGAUGGACGGCCACAGUGGGAAUGGAGAAAGGCCCAGACCCCUACGGGGGGGAGCAGGGGGGAAUCUUCCGCAAUGGAGGAAAGUCUGACGGGACAACGCCGGGGGGGGUGUGGCGGCCUUCGGGUUGUAAAGCUCUGCUAAUCGGGACAAAAGGCCUUCUUGCGAAUAGUGAGAAGGAUUGACGGUACCGAAAUAGAAAGCCACGGCUAACUACGUG